CAGCGAAGUUAGGUGGGGAGCUCGUCCUGCCCUAUGUGGCAUAGCCACAUGCGCAAACGGACGUUAUGGCGCACCGAAACUCGUGAGCGGUGUAUCAGGUUUGCGAAGGUCCUGAUAUUCGACUGAGAAGCUUCGCCUCAUAGGAUUGUAUGUGCAUCGAACCGCGUGAGGCGGGGAACCGAGCAACGCUAAGAUGUACAUGCGAUGCUUAUGAGAUCACGAAGUGGAGAAGAAUAUUGGGGUAAACCUUUCAAGUCUGGUGCAUCCAUCGCGAGUGCACUUCGCUG
rnacentral:SRP_RNA from 1 species